rnacentral:rRNA from 1 species
UUUUAUGGAGAGUUUGAUCCUGGCUCAGGAUGAACGCUGGCGGCGUGCCUAAUACAUGCAAGUCGAGCGAACGGACGAGAAGCUUGCUUCUCUGAUGUUAGCGGCGGACGGGUGAGUAACACGUGGAUAACCUACCUAUAAGACUGGGAUAACUUCGGGAAACCGGAGCUAAUACCGGAUAAUAUUUUGAACCGCAUGGUUCAAAAGUGAAAGACGGUCUUGCUGUCACUUAUAGAUGGAUCCGCGCUGCAUUAGCUAGUUGGUAAGGUAACGGCUUACCAAGGCAACGAUGCAUAGCCGACCUGAGAGGGUGAUCGGCCACACUGGAACUGAGACACGGUCCAGACUCCUACGGGAGGCA